rnacentral:piRNA from 1 species
UAGACUAUAGUCUGUGCUUAGAGAUCUUGU